rnacentral:misc_RNA from 1 species
GUAGGUGAACCUGCGGAAGGAUCAUUAAAAGUGUGCGCUCCGGUUGCUUCUCGCUUCCGGUUGCGCCUUACACACUAUUCUCUCAAACCGUGGUUCGUCAAAACAACCUUGUUGGGCGUCGUCUUUCGCGUGCGAGUGUUGUCUCUUUCCGUCUCUCUCUCUUUCCGUUCGCGGACAGAAGGAAGGAAUAAGAUCGUCGCCGCCGCGAAAGCAUGGCAAGCCGUUCGGAGUACGGGGAUGGCCUUGCUGG